GAUUUCAACAAGGAUGGAACUUUGAGGAGAAAAAAGUCAUUAAGAAGAAAAGGAUGAUGGGAAACAUGUCCAGGACCGGUGCAUGAGACGUGAGACCACUCAACUAAUACAAGAGCUCUCUCUCCAAGACACCCAGUAAAAUGAAGGAUCAAAUCAGGACAAGAAACUAGAUAAGGAGCAGCCCCAGCAUGUGAACUCAGAUUAUGGAAGAGGGGAUGCUUAUUAGAGUGACACAAAAUGAGGAAGUUGGAGCACAAAGAGAAAACCACAUAGUCACAGAGAGAACAUGAAGAGGAAGAACCAGAUGAGCAGCAGAAUCUAAGAAGACAAAGAAGCAGUUCGAGGAGCCUCCAGAUGAUCAACAACAGAACAAACAUGUCAGAGAACAGGAAGAAGAUGAAUAACAGCAUCAAACAGAGAAGAAACAGAUCCAAAAGAAGAAGAAGAAAAAGAAGAAGAAAUAGACCCAAGAAGAAGAAGAAGAAGAAGAAGAAGAGCUCAAGAUUACUCCAAAGGUAUCUCUGGAUCUGGAGCUAGACAUUUAGAUCUGCUGUUGCUGGCCUCACCCACUUGCAAAGAGUUCAUGUUCUCUCCCUCCUCUGUAUCCUCAUCCCAGACGGAGGUUUUUUUUCAACUUCCUGGCAACAGGAAGUUUUUUCCUCAACACUGUUACCACAUGUUUGAUUUGAUCAAACUGCAAUAAGUGAGAGUCUUAAAUAAAAAGUCAAAACAAGAGAACUGUAUCUGUUUGUUCAGACGUUUGACAUUAUGGACUCUUCCUGUAACCUUAUUCUAUGGUUAGAAAAUCAUGUUAGUCUAAAAAUAUGUUUUCAAACCAUUGGUUUUUCAUAAACACCUGUGACUCCAUCUUCAAACUGUCCAGCAUUUGAAUAUAUGAAAGGUUGUUUAAUAACUUGGGAUACAAGUUCAGUGUUACUCUCUGCUCUUCCUGCUUCAUCCUGGAUUUAAAACAGUCCCAGUUAUGAUGGAUUUUAAUAUGUGGCCUGAUAAGUAAUAAACAAAUGCUGCA